AUCUGCUUCUUCAUAUUUAGUGUAAAUCCAAACAGCAACGCUCCUGAGUUUGUGUCCCACGUCACCUUCAGUCCGCUCAGAGCAGAGGAAUCAUUUCCAUAGAGAGGAGGCUUUGCAUCGUCAGCUGAUCCUCCACUGAACUGAGAAGCUUUAUAGUCCUGUGACUCCAACUCUGCAGGACUCAGACCCGUCAGUCGACCACAACCACCAUGACUCUCAUCACCCUCCUCAUCUGGACGCUGGCCUGCUGCAGCUUCACAGGAUGCAGCGGCCAGGUGACUGUGACUCAGCCUCCAGUCGUGACAUUUACUCCAGAAUCCACUGUCACUCUGACCUGUAAAACCAACCCCAGUGUUUAUAGGAAUAGUAAUGGUGACUAUAUGUCCUGGUACCAGCAGAAACCUGGACAGGCUCCCAAGCUUCUUAUAUACUAUGCAACAACUCUUAAUACAGGAACUCACUCUCGAUUCAGUGGCAGUGGCUCUGGUUCUAGCUUCACUUUAACCAUCAGCGGUGUUAAGGCUGAAGAUGCUGGAGAUUAUUACUGUCAGAGUUAUCAUAGCGGUCCAGUGUUCACACAGUGAUUUAGAGCCGUACAAAAACCUCCCUCUUUUGGACUGAAGUGAAACUGGUCUGCUGCAGCUGCACAGAGAAUAACUGGUCCAGUGAACACAACACAAGUCUUCAUGCAGAGCGACAAUGAGGCUAAACACAACUGAAACAUACUCGCAGUUUUAAAUGUUCAGAAAUCUCCAAACAAAGCCCCAUGAAACCAACUUUGUCAAAUUUAUAUUUUCUACUUUAUUUAUUUGAAAAACAGUCCAAUUAUCAAUUAAGAAUAACACAAUUUGUAAUUAUAAUUUAUAAUCGACGGGGCACAACCAUGGUGCCAGGGACCAACAAUCAAACGUAAAGAUCAGUCUCAUUCAGAUCUAGUUCAAUUAGAAAUCUAAAUAUUUACUAUCAAACAUUAUAUAAUGAACAGUGAAGGUUAUGGAGAUCUUGACAGUGUAGCAGUUGGCAAAAUUCAACAUU